rnacentral:rRNA from 1 species
CUACGGAGGGUGCAAGCGUUAUCCGGAAUCAUUGGGUUUAAAGGGUCCGCAGGCGGUCAAUUAAGUCAGAGGUGAAAGCCCAUCGCUCAACGAUGGAACUGCCUUUGAUACUGGUUGACUUGAGUUAUACGGAAGUAGAUAGAAUAAGUAGUGUAGCGGUGAAAUGCAUAGAUAUUACUUAGAAUACCGAUUGCGAAGGCAGUCUACUACGUAUAUACUGACGCUGAGGGACGAAAGCGUGGGGAGCGAACAGGAUUAGAAACCCCGGUAGUCC